UGGGGAAUAUUGGACAAUGGGGGCAACCCUGAUCCAGCCAUGCCGCGUGAGUGAUGAAGGCCUUAGGGUUGUAAAGCUCUUUUAACGGGGAAGAUAAUGACGGUACCCGUAGAAUAAGCCCCGGCUAACUUCGUGCCAGCAGCCGCGGUAAUACGAAGGGGGCUAGCGUUGCUCGGAAUCACUGGGCGUAAAGCGCACGUAGGCGGGUCUUUAAGUCAGAGGUGAAAUCCCGGAGCUCAACUCCGGAACUGCCUUUGAUACUGAAGAUCUUGAGUUCGAGAGAGGUGAGUGGAACUGCGAGUGUAGAGGUGAAAUUCGUAGAUAUUCGCAAGAACACCAGUGGCGAAGGCGGCUCACUGGCUCGAUACUGACGCUGAGGUGCGAAAGCGUGGGGAGCAAACAGG
rnacentral:rRNA from 1 species